GCGGUCGUAGUGUAACGGCUUAGCACUAGAACCUGUGGAGUUCUCAGAGGGAGUUCAAUUCUCCUCGACCGCC
rnacentral:tRNA from 1 species